CCGAACUAUAUUCAAUCGAAAAACGAAUAUGUCGUUAUUCAGAAUAAAGGCGUUGGGAAAAGUCAUGAACAUGAUAAAAAUCAUUUCACUAUCACUCGGGAAAAAUCAGUACUGAUCAGUUUUCUGCAGUGCAGCAUGGCGGGAGAAGAGGGCAUUUAUGAAGUAGCAGCUGAGUUGCAGGAAGCCAACAAAAGUUUUUUAGCUUACGUACAUAAUCUGCGGAAGAAAAUUCAGGAUACCACUACAAUUUUAGAGAACCGUGAGGAAGAACGUUCAAAAAUUAGAGAGCAAAUGGAACAGCUUCAGAAGAAACUUGAUGAAUCUGUCAAAGAAGAUGAGCAAUAUAAAAAUAACCUAAAGAAAUACAAGUCCAUAGUUUCAGAGGCAGCAUUGGAGGGAGGAGAGGAAGCAAUAUAUAGAAAAUCCGCUGAUUUGCAGAAAUGCAACGAACAUACACUAAAAUACAUUCAUAAUAUAAGAAAAAACAUUCAAGCUUUCGCAACGGUCUCAGAAAAACGGAACGGAAGAACGCAGACAAAUCAAUGAGAAAAUCGCAGAACUUCAAAGACAGCUUGAAGUUAAGUUGACAAGGCGGAUGAACAGAACAAAAAAAAUAUAGAAAAACAUAAUAAUGAACUUUUAAAAUUAACCCAAGAGUAUGAACGAAUUGUUGAACAUAAGCUGCACCUCAUACUCGAGGACCAAAAAAAACUCGAGGCGCAAAUAAACCAGGAGGAGAAGGAGUAUCGGGCGCUGGAAGACGAUGUCUCCAAACUAGUAAAACAACGAGAUCAAAAGAGGAAAACAAUUAACAAACGUCGUCAAAGCUUCAAUGAGUUCAACAAAAAAAAUUAACAUAGAAAAACAACUUGAAGCAAUGGUGAAAAACCUGAAGCUGUUGAACAACACAAAUAUUGUUGUUCUGGACAAAUAAAACGAAAACAAAUAAUA